CGUGGGCGCGGUCACGUGACGGCGAUGGAGGGGGACGGCGCGUACGAGCCGGGAUUCGUCGGGAUCCGGUUCUGCCAGGAAUGGAGGACAAGGAGAACCGGAUCCUUCUCUACGCCGUGAGUGACCCCAAACUGGGACCAGUAAUCCCCCCAGACUGGGACUAGUAACCCCCCCAAACUGGGAUCAGUGACCCCAAACUGGGACCAGUAAC